GAUGAACGCUGGCGGCGUGCCUAAUACAUGCAAGUCGAGCGAACAGACGAGGAGCUUGCUCCUCUGACGUUAGCGGCGGACGGGUGAGUAACACGUGGAUAACCUACCUAUAAGACUGGGAUAACUUCGGGAAACCGGAGCUAAUACCGGAUAAUAUAUUGAACCGCAUGGUUCAAUAGUGAAAGACGGUUUUGCUGUCACUUAUAGAUGGAUCCGCGCCGCAUUAGCUAGUUGGUAAGGUAACGGCUUACCAAGGCGACGAUGCGUAGCCGACCUGAGAGAGUGAUCGGCGACAUUGGAACUGAGACACGGUCCAGACUCCUACGGGAGGCAGCAGAAGGGAAUCUUCCGCAAUGGGCGAAAGCCUGACGGAGCAACGCCGCGUGAGUGAUGAAGGUCUUCGGAUCGUAAAACUCUGUUAUUAGGGAAGAACAAAUGUGUAAGUAACUAUGCACGUCUUGACGGUACCUAGUCAGAAAGCCACGGCUAACUACGUG
rnacentral:rRNA from 1 species